rnacentral:rRNA from 1 species
GACGAACGCUGGCGGCGUGCCUAAUACAUGCAAGUUGAGCGCUGAAGGUUGGUACUUGUCCCAACUGGUUGAGCAGCGAACGGGUGAGUAACGCGUGGGGAAUCUGCCUUUGAGCGGGGGACAACAUUUGGAAACGAAUGCUAAUACCGCAUAAAAACUUUAAACACAAGUUUUAAGUUUGAAAGAUGCAAUUGCAUCACUCAAAGAUGAUCCCGCGUUGUAUUAGCUAGUUGGUGAGGUAAAGGCUCACCAAGGCGAUGAUACAUAGCCGACCUGAGAGGGUGAUCGGCCACAUUGGGACUGAGACACGGCCCAAACUCCUACGGGAGGCAGCAGUAGGGAAUCUUCGGCAAUGGACGAAAGUCUGACCGAGCAACGCCGCGUGAGUGAAGAAGGGUUUCGGAUCGUAAAACUCUGUUGGUAGAGAAGAACGUUGGUGAGAGUGGAAAGCUCAUCAAGUGACGGUAACUACCCAGAAAGGGACGGCUAACUACGUG